rnacentral:snoRNA from 1 species
ACGACCUUACUUGAACAGGAUCUGUUCUAUAGGCUCGUACCACUGUAUCCUUGAGUUCUAAGGAGACAGAAAACCAAGUCUGGUGGAUGAAUUAAAGCCAUUAGACCAGAGCGUGAUUAACAACAGCUCUCAUGGCCUCGGGUCAUGACGCCGUAGAUGAUCGUUCUCAGCCUCAUCCGUGGGUUCUGGGAUGGUCUAAUGGCUGUCUGACAGACU